CUUCAUCUUUGAAAAGCCGCAUUCUAAAAACUAUAUAAACCUAUCAACUUUCUCCGAAAAAUCCCAAUCAAAUCAAAUCAAAUCAAAUACUCUCUGUAAAGAUCAAGAACACAUCGCUUAGACCCACUCUUCCUCCUUCUCUUUCUCUGCCUUUCUCCUCCUUCUUUUUCUCCUUCUUUCUUAUUAAUUGCGUUUCUUAAUUUCAUCUCUAACAUUUCUGUUUUGCAGAAGGCAUAAUCUUGUAGGGUUUCUUUAUUUUUGUUUUUUUUCUAUCUAUCUGUAUAUUAUUUGUUUUUGGCUGUUGUUCGUUAUGGAUGCAGGAUCUAUGAACACUUCUUCAAGCUUGAAAGCACAAUCUCGUUUCCCUCUUCAACAGCAGUUUCUUCCAAGAACGAACUCUAAAGAAAACUUGGAUAGAUUUAUACCAAACAGGUCAGCCAUGGAUAUGGAUUAUGCCCGUUUCAUGCUAACAGAAGGGAGAAAAGGAAAAGAGAACCCAACAGUGAACUCGCCGUCAAGAGAGGCUUACAGGAAGCAACUUGCUGAUUCCUUGAACAUGAACCGAACUCGAAUUCUAGCUUUCAAGAACAAGCCUCCUGCACCUGUUGAGUUGAUGCCUCAAGACCACUCUCAUCACCACCACCAGCCCAAAACCGCCAAGCCUCGCCGACAUAUUCCUCAGACUUCUGAGAGGACAUUAGAUGCACCAGAUCUUGUGGAUGAUUUCUACCUCAACUUAUUGGAUUGGGGCAGCAGCAAUGUUUUAGCCAUAGCUCUUGGAAGCACUGUUUAUUUGUGGGAUGCUUCAGACGGUUCUACCUCAGAAUUGGUCACGGUUGAUGAUGAAGAUGGACCCGUUACCAGUGUCAAUUGGGCUCCUGAUGGACGCCAUAUUGCCAUAGGCUUGAACAAUUCUCAUAUACAGUUAUGGGAUUCUGCUUCCAAUAGACAGCUAAGAACAUUGAAAGGAGGCCACAGAUCGCGAGUUGGGUCAAUGGCAUGGAACAAUCACAUCCUGACAACAGGGGGGAUGGAUGGUCAAAUCAUUAAUAAUGACGUGAGAAUUAGAUCACACAUUGUUGAGACUUACAGAGGGCAUACACAGGAGGUUUGUGGGCUUAAAUGGUCCGCUUCAGGUCAACAAUUAGCGAGUGGAGGCAAUGAUAAUCUAAUUCAUAUAUGGGAUAGAUCUACAGCAUUAUCAAACUCAGCAACACAGUGGCUUCACAGGCUUGAGGACCAUACUUCAGCAGUGAAAGCCCUGGCAUGGUGUCCUUUCCAAGGGAAUUUGCUAGCCUCUGGAGGAGGUGGAGGAGAUAAGAGUAUUAAGUUUUGGAAUACACAUACAGGUGCCUGCUUGAACUCGAUUGAUACCGGAUCUCAGGUGUGUUCUCUUUUGUGGAACAAGAAUGAAAGGGAACUACUUAGCUCUCAUGGGUUUACUCAGAAUCAACUCACUGUUUGGAAAUAUCCAUCAAUGGUGAAAAUGGCAGAGCUCACUGGCCAUACUUCUAGAGUCCUUUACAUGGCUCAGAGUCCGGAUGGUUGCACAGUUGCAACAGCAGCAGGGGAUGAAACACUCAGAUUCUGGAAUGUUUUUGGAGUUCCUGAAAUUGCUGCUAAGGCCGCUCCUAAAGCAAAUCCAGAGCCAUUUUCUCACUUGAAUCGCAUUCGCUGAUUCUGAAAUCAAAACAGAAAACCAAGCUGCCUCCUGUGUGCAUAUGUUUGACCAGACCGACCACUUCCAGGGGAAAACAACAACUUGUUGUCAGGAGGGAUAGCGCAAUCAUUUGGCUCCACAUUUCAUCAUCCGGCACCCUUCUCUCCAAUUAAUGUACAAAUAAAAGAAUGGUUUCAUCGAAGGGGGUUUGGUUAGAUGUGCACAUAAUACCACGUAAAAUUUCUGUCC